CCUACGGGUGGCAGCAGUGGGGAAUAUUGCUCAAUGGGGGAAACCCUGAUGCAGCGACGCCGCGUGAGGGAUGAAGGAUUUCGGGUUGUAAAGCUCUUUUUGUAGAGAAGAAAAUGACGGUACCUGAGUAAUAAGCCCCGGCUAACUACGUGCCAGCAGCCGCGGUAAUACGUAGGGGGCAAGCGUUAUUCGGAUUCACUGGGCGUAAAGGGAGCGUAGACGGGAGAGCAAGUCAGAUGUGAAAGGCUAGGGCUCAACCGUAGAACUGCAAUGGAAACUGUAAGGCUGGAGUACAGGAGAGGUAGGUGGAAUUCGUGGUGUAGCGGUAAAAUGCGUAGAGAUCACGAGGAACACCUAUUGCGAAGGCGGCUUACUAGACUGUAACUGACGUUGAUGCGCGAAAGCGUGGGGAGCAAACAGGAUUAGAUACCCCGGUAGUC
rnacentral:rRNA from 1 species